GGAAAAAGACCAUUUGAUGUUCUAAAUGAGGUCAAUUCUAGAAGGGGCAAUGUCAAAGUGAAGUAGGAAUUAGUCCUGGACCAUUAACGGGAAGAGUGAUUUGUGCAUCUAAACCAUGUAGUCAAUAAAAGAAACAGAGCUUCCAUACAAAAUGGAGCCAGUUCCUUUGGUGUCCUAAUCAAAAUGAGAUUUAUACAUGUUUUUACUUUGAUAUGCAGAAAGCUACCCUAUUGCACACAUCUGUGCCCAGAGAUAUGUCAUCCUGGUCAAUGCCCAGCACCUGAGAAGUGCUCUAAAAAGGUUACUGUUCGUUGUGGAUGCCAAACCCUGAAAAAGGAGUGGUUGUGUCAUGAUGUUCAAGCAGCCUAUCGCAGUGCCAGAAGUGAUCUGAAAGAUAUAUCUAAAAAUCAAUAUGGACUUGGACUACUUCCGUGCAAUUCAGGUUGCAGGAGUAAGGUAAAGGUUGCAGACACAGAAUUGCAACACCGCAAAUCUACAGUUUUAAAGGUAAUCCUUAUAUCUUCAAGUGAAACAUGCCUCAUCAUUUAUUUUGGGAGCAUCAGAUGAUACGCGUGGGCUAGUGGUGAAGGUUUUGAACAUGGGAGCUUUACUAUGGGGUAAUUCCUAGAGGUCUCAUGUUUGACUCUCACUGGGUGCAAAAACACUCCGGCUUAAGCAAUACACACAGGCUGGUUGGAGUUCUCCAUCAUAUAAAAAAAAAAUCAGAUUAGAAUUCUCUAAAAAGGAAGCCCCUCUGUUCUGCAUUCGUUUGUGCUUUUGGUACAAAAUUGGAUUGAGUCUUUAUUUAGCUAGUGUCAACAACAUAAAAUAAUUUGAUAAGUAGCAAAUCAACUAUCAAGACUUCUGAAUCGCAGUAUUGUUCAUCUUUACUAGAAAGUACAACCAUUUACUAUUUUUUUCUGUUGAUUUGUCAUUUUUCUAUUUAACUAUUUGGGUGUUUGAAUACCUACUGAAAUUUGAAUAUUUUUCAAGUAUCUUAGUUGGUCAUGUAAUAUAGAAUGAUCAGUAAAAGCAGUGGACUUACAACUGAAAUGAAAUGUGUUGAAAUUGAAAUCAUGAAAUUAUCUAUUUUAAGGCUCUGUUUGGGUGAGUGGGUUUGAAAUGAAGGGAUUUGAGGUAAAAUUUUGUGAAAUUCUAGGAAACUGGAGACAUGUUUUGAUAAUUUUGAAGUGAAUGAUUGAAUAAAGAUAAGAGAUACACGUUAAAAUCUUUACAUAAGUAGAAUUAUUCACGAGAGGAUUUCAAAUAACUAUAUUCACCAACUUAUUUCAAAUUCAUCAAUCUAAAGCUCUCAAAUCCAUUAUUGGAAUCUAGAUUAACAAUAUUCUAAUAAAAAGGCUACACUUCUUCAAUGAGUGAUGCCAAAUCCAUUCAAUUGAAUUCCGUAGAUCUAAAUCCAACCUAAAAUUGUUGGGAAGGAGAACUAUGCAGAUUUAAAUAAUUUGUAUUAUGAAUAGGCUCACAACAAAUAUGAUGGGGGAAAAAAAAAAAAGGUCCACUUUCUUGAAUUUCCAAGGCUUCUUGUAUUAAUUGUGGCAAUAACAUUCUUGUAGCCUACUUCUUCAUUGGUUGAAUAAGUUCAAACCCUCUCUAAUGAGGACCCCUGGAUACUGACAAGAUUAGUUCCAUGGAACUGCCUUAAAUAUGCCAUUGCCAAUAGACAAGAAGAAAGAAGGUUUUACAGUUAGUGUAGCUGGUGAAGUGUCUUAGUAAUAACAAAAUUCAUUUUACCUCCCUUGAAAUUUAACCCUGGAGCAUUUUAUACCAUUACUAUUCAAAAAAUAGCUAAAGAGACCUCAUGUGGUUUUGGAUUAAAUACAAUAACUCCAUUAACAGCGGGUGAAAAAUGACUAUAAACCCGGCUACUAUGUUCUCUUUAUCUCUCUUUUGUUAUACACAUAAUGUUUUAUUUAAUCGCAUAUUAUCUAAUUAAAGUAAAUACUCCUAUUUUUAUAAUCUAAUUGUAAUUUUUAACUUAAUUUUUUAUUUAAUCACAUUUUUAAUUGUACAUACAUAUAGUGUAUAUAUAUAUAAUAACUGUACGACUGUCUUUCUCCUUCAAUGUUUGUCGACCAUCACUAUUAUAUCUAUCCCGUCACCAGCUUCAACAACCCAUAAUUCAUCCAUGAGGCAAAAGGACACAUACCAUGGACGAAAAUAUAUAAGUACAAUUUAUGUAUAUAAUAUAUAUACAGUGGAGGGGAUAUGCACAUCCAAAACAUGUAAUGCCCCAGUUUUCAAAAGAUUAGUUAGGUGAAAACUAAAUAACCUAAGCUUAAUCUCUUAAUAAAAACUCCACUUUCAAACCAUCUCAAACAUUCUCAAAGCUCAUUCCUUUACCAUUUCCCAUUAAUUUACAAAAUGCUCAAUUUACCUUGUAGAACAUGACCAAAGUCCAAUUACUUAUGUUUCAAAAUAGAUUCUGUUUUUGUUAUAACUACCUGGAGCACCAAAGUACAAGAAAAGAUGUAGGUUGUAACUAGGAAAAGAAUUUUCAUUGGGAAUGUGACUGCUUGAUGGUUUUUGCAAAAAUAGUUGGUUUAUUAAAUAGUUGCUUCUAGAGUUAAUUACCUAAAAGUCCUAUUUACAAAUGUUAUGGUAGCUCAGGUCCUAUUAAAGAUUUUCUGAACCAAUAAGUUCUAUUUAGU